UACGUAGGUGGCAAGCGUUGUCCGGAUUUACUGGGCGUAAAGCGCGCGCAGGCGGUUCUUCAAGUCAGAGGUGAAAGCCCAGAGCUCAACUCUGGAAUGGCCUUUGAGACUAGAGGACUUGGGUACGGGAGAGGUGAGUGGAAUUCCGAGUGUAGAGGUGAAAUUCGUAGAUAUUCGGAAGAACACCAGUGGCGAAGGCGGCUCACUGGCCCGUUACCGACGCUCAGGCGCGACAGCGUGGGGAGCAAACAGG
rnacentral:rRNA from 1 species